AAAGAUAUAGUUCAGUGAUAGAGCAUGUGCUUAGUAUGCACAAGGUCCUGGGUUCAAUCCACAGUACCUCCA
rnacentral:tRNA from 1 species